GACGAACGCUGGCGGCGUGUUUAACACAUGCAAGUCGAACGGAAAGGCCCUGCUUUUGUGGGGUGCUCGAGUGGCGAACGGGUGAGUAACACGUGAGUAACCUGCCCUUGACUUUGGGAUAACUUCAGGAAACUGGGGCUAAUACCGGAUAGGAGCUCCUGCUGCAUGGUGGGGGUUGGAAAGUUUCGGCGGUUGGGGAUGGGCUCGCGGCUUAUCAGCUUGUUGGUGGGGUAGUGGCUUACCAAGGCUUUGACGGGUAGCCGGCCUGAGAGGGUGACCGGCCACAUUGGGACUGAGAUACGGCCCAGACUCCUACGGGAGGCAGCAGUGGGGAAUAUUGCACAAUGGGCGGAAGCCUGAUGCAGCAACGCCGCGUGCGGGAUGACGGCCUUCGGGUUGUAAACCGCUUUCGCCUGUGACGAAGCGUGAGUGACGGUAAUGGGUAAAGAAGCACCGGCUAACUACGUG
rnacentral:rRNA from 1 species